UAGGGAAUCUUCCGCAAUGGACGAAAGUCUGACGGAGCAACGCCGCGUGAGUGAAGAAGGUUUUCGAAUCGUAAAGCUCUGUCCUAUGAGAAGAUAAUGACGGUAUCAUAGGAGGAAGCCCCGGCUAAAUACGUGCCAGCAGCCGCGGUAAUACGUAUGGGGCGAGCGUUGUCCGGAAUUAUUGGGCGUAAAGGGUACGUAGGCGGUCUAUUAAGUCAGGUGUGAAAGCGUGAGGCUUAACCUCAUUAAGCACUUGAAACUGAUAGACUUGAGUGAAGGAGAGGAAAGUGGAAUUCCUAGUGUAGCGGUGAAAUGCGUAGAUAUUAGGAGGAAUACCGGUGGCGAAGGCGACUUUCUGGACUUUUACUGACGCUCAGGUACGAAAGCGUGGGGAGCAAACAGG
rnacentral:rRNA from 1 species